rnacentral:lncRNA from 1 species
CCCUUGGAUUCUCAGACGAGGGAGAUUUCUAACAUUCUGUGCUACUUUCCUUAAUUUCACAGCCUUGGUGGCUGCUCAGGGACCAGUCUGAUGCCAGCACGUGCCCUCACUCAGGACAGGGUGGAUCCAGGAGGCAGGACACACACCGCAGGACCAAGAGCCCCUCUGCCCAGCAGUGCCACCCAUACAAGUGCAGCCCAGUCACCAGGCGGGCCUGGGAUCACUGCCAGGAACUGCUGAGUAUGAGGAGGGUGAUCACCAAGCCCCCCCCCUGAGCGCCCCAGAGCCAAGGCAGGCCCCCUGCACCUGGGUAAGGUGGCACCUGCUCGAGUGAAGUCAGGAUGCCAAGGGGCUGAUGGCACCGCGAGACCCAGAGGGUGAACCCAAGUCGCCAAACGGGCCGCUGCGGGACGGUCCGUUACCCACCAGGUGGAGGGCUCUGGAGAGCACUGCGAGGUAAGGAUGCUGCGGCCUGGGCCCCCGGCUGGAGGCUGCCCGGAGGAGACCCGGCCACCCAGCGCCUCCACCCACUCACACGGGGCCCCACAGCGGCAACCGGGAGGGGGGCGCUGGAAGGCAGUGAUU